UACGUAGGGUGCGAGCGUUGCCCGGAUUUAUUGGGGCGUAAAGGGCGCGUAGGCGGCUCUGCACGUCCGUUGUGAAAUCGCCCGGCUCAACUGGGCGGGGUCAGCGGAUACGGCGGAGCUUGAGCAAGCUAGGGGGCAAUGGAAUUCCCGGUGUAGUGGUGAAUGCGUAGAUAUGGAGAUCGACGAAUCGCAGUAGGCGGAGCUGCCCCUGGGGACUUAGCUGACGC
rnacentral:rRNA from 1 species